AUGAACGCUGGCGGCGUGCUUAACACAUGCAAGUCGAACGGAGUUUUAACGGAAGUUUCGGAUGGAAGUUUAAGAACUUAGUGGCGGACGGGUGAGUAACGCGUGGGUAACCUGCCUCAUACAGGGGGAUAACAGUUAGAAAUGACUGCUAACACCGCAUAAUAUAGUGAAACCGCAUGAUUUUGCUACCAAAUAUUUAUAGGUAUGAGAUGGGCCCCGCGUCUGAUUAGCUAGUUGGUGGGGUAAAAGCCUACCAAGGCGACGAUCAGUAGCCGGCUUGAGAGAGUGACCGGCCACAUUGGGACUGAGACACGGCCCAAACUCCUACGGGAGGCAGCAGUGGGGAAUAUUGGACAAUGGGGGAAACCCUGAUCCAGCCGACGCCGCGUGAGUGAAGAAGUAUUUCGGUAUGUAAAGCUCUAUCAGCAGGGAAGAUAAUGACAGUACCUGACUAAGAAGCCCCGGCUAACUACGUGCCAGCCGCCGC
rnacentral:rRNA from 1 species